ACAAUGAUACUUCCGUCCAGUCCCAGUCACAAGCAAGGAGGGCGGCCGACAGAGAUCCUGCCGGGGGUGAAAUUCCCAUGA
ncrna:unclassified sequences pemK RNA